UCGCCACAGCUCCCGAGCCAGCCACCACGUCCCUGCAUACUUCAUCAUCACCUGUGCCACCAGAAGCCACCACAGCUUUGGGGCACAACCUGAAGUCCCUCACAGUCACCUUCCCCAUCUCCACCCUCCAGUAUUCAUCAGACAGGAGCAACGGCUCAGCCACGUUCAACUCCACUGAGAGGGUCCUGCAGAGCCUGCUGGAUCCUUGUUCAAGAAGAGCAGCCUGGG